AGAGUUUGAUCAUGGCUCAGAGCAAACGCUGGCGGCGUGCCUAAUACAUGCAAGUCGAACGGGGAAAGCUUUCGGGUGAGUACUAGUGGCGCACGGGUGAGUAACGCGUGGAUAAUCUGCCUUAGAGUGGGGGAUAACUAGCCGAAAGGUUAGCUAAUACCGCAUAAGACCACGGGGACUGCGGUUCCUGAGGUCAAAGGUUUUUCGCUCUAAGAUGAGUCCGCGUAAGAUUAGCUAGUUGGCGGGGUAAGAGCCCACCAAGGCGACGAUCGGUAGCUGGUCUGAGAGGAUGAUCAGUCACACUGGAACUGAGACACGGUCCAGACUCCUACGGGAGGCAGCAGUAGGGAAUAUUGCGCAAUGGGGGAAACCCUGACGCAGCGACGCCGCGUGAGUGAUGAAGGCCUUCGGGUCGUAAAGCUCUGUCGUAUGGGACUAACACAAUGAAGGUACCAUGCAAGAAAGGAUCGGCUAACUUCGUGCCAGCAGCCGCGGUAAU
rnacentral:rRNA from 1 species